AUGCCGACAGAAUCUGCUGCAUAAGAUCAAGGAAAUGGAGGAUGUGCAUCAUGAAGAAUCAAUUGUAUCAGAACACAACAUCAUGGAAGAUCUUAUUGACAAGAUCUCGGAGGAUGUCCUUUGCCAGAUGUUUGCCAGCACUAAAGUCUAUUCAUCAGUCAGAUGCUACAGUUACAAAUGACAGUGAAUGGUCAGAUUUAUACAAUUGUGAUUAACAAUCCUCAACAAUACAUCAAACAAAAAUGCCUAUUAAACUUUCUCACAGACAGUCAUAGGUUGAAAACAAAUCAGAAGUGGUCCACAUCUUAAAAAACCUCACAGCAGAUUAAGACUUUCCCCGAAAUUUCCCUGUAAAACCCGCAGUGGUAUGUCCAGUGCAGUAGAUACUGCCUGGCACAAAAGAGGAUUUGA